ensembl:lncRNA
GAGAGAGACAGAGAGAGAGAGAGACACAGGGAGAGAGACAGAGAGAGAGAGAGACACAGCGAGAGAGAGAGACAGAGAGAGACAGAGAGAGACAGAGAGAGAGAGAGAGAGAGAGACAGAGAGAGACAGAGAGAGACAGAGAGAGAGAGAGACACAGGGAGAGAGACACAGGGAGAGAGACAGUGGUAGUCUAGUGGUUAGAGUGUAGAGGAGGCAGGUAGCCUAGUGGUUAGAGUGUAGAGGCGGCAGGUAGCCUAGUGGUUAGAGUGUAGAGGAGGCAGGUAGCAUAGUGGUUAGAGUGUAGAGGAGGCAGGUAGCCUAGUGGUUAGAGUGUAGAGGAGGCAGGUAGACUAGUGGUUAGAGUGUAGUGGCGGCAGGUAGACUAGUGGUUAGAGUGUAGAGGAGGCAGGUAGCCUAGUGGUUAGAGUGAAGGGGGGGUAGUCUAGUGGUUAGAGUGUAGAGGCGGCAGGUAGUCUAGUGGUUAGAGUGUAGGGGUGGUAGGUAGUCUAGUGGUUAGAGUGUAGGGGAGUAGUCUAGUGGUUAGAGUGAAAUGGGAUACAGUACCUUCCUCUGUCCCCCAGACUGUACAGUCCCUUCCUCUGUCCCCCCCAGACUGUACAGUCCCUUCCUCUGUCCCCC